GGUAUAAAUAGGCAUUAAAUGCAAAAUUUUUAACAGAUCAACGUAGUGCACUGACAUUGAACGUUUUUUUUUCAACAUGAAAUUAUUUCAAGUAAUAUUUGCUAUUUCCUGUGUUAUCGCACUCGCUAUGGCAAAUCCUGGUCACAAUAUUAUUAAAGGAAAUAACAAUGGCGGUAAUAAACAGAGUAACGCUGAUGCCAGCUUCAGUUUAUGGGGCUAAUUAAUUGAUAAUAUUGGAACGAACAUAUCGAAAGCAAAAUUUUGGAAACUAGUAAUAUUUGAAAUUGUCUAAUGUUAAUAAAUGAGUUAGUAAUUCCUUACAGUUAUGCACUUUA